rnacentral:rRNA from 1 species
UCCGGACGGGGCAAGCGUUGUUCGGAAUCAUUGGGCGUAAAGGGCGCGUAGGUGGUUCUGUAUGUCUAUCGUGAAAGCAUACAGCUCAACUGUAUUUUGUCGGUAGAAACUGCAGGACUUGAGGCUGGGAGGGGCUGGUGGAAUUCCCUGUGUAGCGGUGAAAUGCGUAGAGAUGGGGGAGAACACUCGUGGCGAAGGCGGCCAGCUAGACCAGUUCUGACACUGAGGCGCGACAGCGUGGGGAGCAAACAGG